UACGUAGGUGGCAAGCGUUAUCCGGAUUUAUUGGGCGUAAAGGGAACGCAGGCGGUCUUUUAAGUCUGAUGUGAAAGCCUUCGGCUUAACCGGAGUAGUGCAUUGGAAACUGGGAGACUUGAGUGCAGAAGAGGAGAGUGGAACUCCAUGUGUAGCGGUGAAAUGCGUAGAUAUAUGGAGGAACACCGGUGGCGAAAGCAGCUCUCUGGCCUGUAACUGACACUGAGGCUCGAAAGCGUGGGGAGCAAACAGG
rnacentral:rRNA from 1 species